GUUUCCAAUAAAAACUCAAGCAUUAAUAAACUAGCAGAAAGUCGAAAAAAUAUAUAUAUAAAUGUUACAACAUCUCUUGUAGUAGACAACUGAUGUUAUGUAUGUAAAAUUCAGUAAGGCCAUAUUGAGAAGAUGGCCGGGUCGACUAAUUCCUCAAUGCUACCCACUUUUUUGGACAACCUUCCCACCUCCAGAAAAUUCAGAAUGCCUUAAAUGACGCAGGGUAGGGGAUACCAUAGAAGCAACUGUGCCUUUAAAUGCUGAUGUUUAUGGUUCCCCACCAGACAAUCCUAGCCCCGUCUGCUGGAACGUUUCGGACCGAUAUCCUCGGACAAAUGACCAACCCGAAUUUGUUCAAUUUCUAAACAACAAUAAGGUGCUUCAAUGUAAAUAUUUUCCCUUUCUUGAGUCUUUAUGCUAACGAGCACUUCCUUGUUGAUUAUGCCUUCCUUGAUAGGGUGAGUAAUCCUAUUGUUGAUAAUGGAAUUCCAUACACUAAUGUCUUCGAUGCCAACUUCGACACCAUGGCGGCAUCACUCAAAGCUGUUGUUGGGUUUGGAGACAUGACCAUUAUUGUUGGGGAGGUGGGAUGGGGACAGGAAUGCCAAUUUAAAUUUUGCUUUGAGGUUCUUUUUACCUAGACUUGCAGCCAAUAAAGGAUCCCCUGUUCAAGUUUAUUUGUUUGGACUUAGUGAUGACGAUGCCAAGUGUGGUGGGAGUGAAAAAUAAAGUUUUAAAAAUUUGGUAUUGUAGGUAACACAUAUAAAAAAAUUUAAAUUUAAUUUCAAAAAAAUAAAUAAAAAGUUUGGGUACUGAAAUUACAAUUAUUCCCUUUUAAUUUUAGCAUUUUUUUUUACUAUUUUUAAUGGCAAAUCUGACGGAUCUUAACAGUAUGGGGUUUUUUCGCACAAAAUAUUUCAAACAAGAUGGUUUUCUGUGACUUUCAAUAAGUAGAGGAGUAUAUCACACAUGAAAGUGUUUUUAGAUGGUAUUAUGCUAUUAGUCCUUUAAAAGUGAUAAUCAUUGAUUGUCGUACCUCAAUUUCUUUAGAUGAAUUGGACGAAGUUAUUUUAAUUGAAAUCAAAUCAAAAUAUAUUUAGCUAAUUGAACAAAAUUGAAGUACAGUUAUUUGAUUGGCAUUCAUUGAAAAUAUAAUUAUCAUGAAUUUUAUCUGUUCGUAACAAUGAAUAGAAAAUCAUGUCAUUACAAGUUAACUAGCCUAAUAUGUGAUUGUACUAACAAAUAAUACUACUAAUAGUAAGUGAGUUUGCAAAACUAGUAUCUUCUUUAGGGAGUUGGCAUAGUCCAACCAAAUUCCUCUUUUCAUAGUGAAGUUGUGGGGUUAAAGCUUGCCCAACUUCAAAUGACUAUACACCAAAGAUUGGCCUAAGCUUAUCCAAUGUAAAACUCUUGCCAAGUGAGUUAUAGACCAAGCAAAUAUCCUAUGGUGAAAAAGAAAUAUAAUUAUAAAAAAAUGUUAUUAAUGUGAAUAUUAAAAGACACACAUUAUACAAAUUUUUCUUGUCCAUUCCAUAUAUUGUGUUUUCGUGAAUAAUUUUUUUUUUCAACGUUAAAUUUGUUUAAAUACUCUCUUCAUUUACACUUCUAGUAAAAAUCAAUAUUAUGUUGCUUCUCUCUCUACAAUUUCGUGUCACCUUUGCAAUUGAUAACAGUAAGGUACAUGUUUGGCAAAACUUAAAUUAUUCAAACUUAUAUUUUAUCCACACAAUUUGUAAGAUCGACAACUACUAUCAACUUAUUAUUCAGAUAUUUUGUAUCACCACCACAACUUAUAAGAAUUAAAAGAACUCCCAAAUAAGCUCAACAUAGGAUUCAAUAGUGUGAUAUACAGAAUUUGGAAUUUUUUUCUUUUCUAAUAAUAUCAAAUACUCUUCAAUCCAUCUAAACAAACAUGUCAUAAAUAGAUGCUUAUGAUCAUCAUAAAGGGGGCUUGCCCCGUUUAUUUUUUCUAAUUCAUUUUAUAGUCCACAUUCAUUAAACUGAGAUAAUAAUAUAGGUAUUAAAAUUUUUAAUUAAUUAAUUAAUUUUUAAAAGUUAAAUUAUUCGAAUAUAUUUGUUAAACUAUGAUUUUUAUUGUUUAUCAUAUUUUUUAGAUAAUCUUAGCUGUCAUAUCUUAUUAGAAUUAUUGAAAUUUUGUGGAAUUUUUCAUUUAAAGUAUUAAAUUCUUAAAAAGAAAAUUAAAUGGGACUAGCCCUUGUUACUCGUACCCGCCCGGUGGAAAUCCCCCACCUGUACUCGACUCGAAUAUCCAAUUAAACGGAUAGUUUUCACCCUCCGUUGGUAUCGAGUUUGAUGAAAUUUUUUGUCAUCCUUAAAUUCCCUUCUCUUAUGCAUGUGGAACUUUUGAUUUUAAGUUAGGACUAAUUAAAAAGAAUUCAAGAAUCCUUUGGGGUUUAUUUCAAUAUGGAAGAAUAUUGGGGCUGAAAUUGUAAAAUACUCCCCAAAUGCAAUAAAACCAAUAAAACACCACAUAUUUUAGGCUGGCAUAAGCUCAUUCCAAGGAAUGGCCACACUUUCACCUCAAGACGUCAACUAUCCAGGUAGAUAGAAAGAGAAGACGAAGAAGAAACCCUAAAAACAGAGCUUAUUAAGUUACUGAUUCUUUACAUAUUUCUGGGUUCGUUCUGAAUCAAAUUGCCGAGAUCUUUAUUUAUUAUUCUUAAUUAAGGUAAGUUAUUAUUUGAUUAUGUAAAUCUUUCUACAGUAUGUGAUGUAAGAAUGUAUAUUAUUGUUUAUUGGUUUUUAUUUUUUGUUUGAUUUCAGUGUAGUCUUUGUGGGCAAUGAGAAAAUGUGGGUAGGAUGAAACUGUUAUAUGUAUGUGUGAGCUAUUGUGGACAGGGUGACGAAGGAAUAGUUGAUGGAAAUUAAAUCCGAGAUAAUUUAAGGUAGCGUGAUAUUGGAAAAGGAAAUAAUAUUUAUAUUUCUUAUUCCGGAUUGAUACAGGUUAACUUGACAAAAAUUGUUUGGCUGGAAUUAAUAGUGAGAUUCUGUUCAAAUUGUGUGUAAAAGAUUUGAGCUUUAAUAAAUAUAGAAGUAACUUGUAUAAAUGUCUAUCAGUAAAUUGUUGUGCGACGUGUUAUGAAUGGGAUUGUGAGUUUGUAAGUUUUCUACGUCUGUUAACUUAGUCUUCAUUUAAAGGAAAAUCACAAAAUCAAGUUUGAGGAUUGCUAAUUACUGGGCAUGAAUCAGUUAAUUGUAUCUGUGAUGCUAAUACUAUGCAGUAGAAUGUUGCAAUUGGCAAUGAUGACAGUUAAAUAUGUUGUAGUACACUAUUGAUGUUUAUUUUUUUGUGAUUAGAAUUUGGGUGAUGGGGAGGCUGUUAAGUGGUGUUUAUAUGAAAAAUGGAUGGAUUAUGCUUUGCUAGCCUUUGACAUUUCCAUGAUCAUUCAAGCUAAUUAGGAUUUGGAUGGCUGAUCAAGAUUCUUUCUAUUUCAAAGCAUAUGAUCACCUUGGCUUUUCAUAAUUAAGUGUCAUAGAAUGGAUUACCCAUCUCUUUUUUGGUGAAUGUUGGGCCAUUAAUCGUAGUUAAUGUAAGUAUUAGACAAACUGCUCGCUGUGUAAAUGGUGAUGGGCAAAUGUACUUGACAAGGUUGUCUUAAUAUGAUGGGGGUAGUUCACAGUGACCAAGAGCCUUUGCUCUCCCUCUUCAAUUACGAGCCUGAUAAUUCCUUUUAUUGUUUAGAGUUCAUUUCCUAUUUUGGGUAUUUUUUUUUUUUUUUUUCAAUUUUAGAUAUGGGAAACUGAAUUCAUCGCCUUCCCAAAUUUCCAUUGUGAUCGUAUCAGUUCUAUCAUGCAUCCACGUGAUUUGACUAGUUUCCAUCUCUAUUUCAUGUGCAUGUAUUUUGAGGUGCAGCGUCAAAUUGAAACAUUUGAUUGUGGAUGACACAAACUUGCUGCAGGUUACAUGAUUGUAUUAUAGUUCUAUUAACUCGGUGUCUUGACUCUUGAGAUUGGUAGGUCUUUCUCUAUUUAUGUGGAUUAUCAUACACUUGUCUAUGUUGUGUAUUGAAUAAAAAAUAUGCAAACAUGGUUAUGCAUCUUCAAUGAGGUUGGAAGCAUAAUCGUUGGAUGAUGAAUUGCUUAGAUUAGAGUUUUGAUUUCUUUUCUAUAGCAACUUUCUGAAAUACCUGAUAUUUCACCACAUAAAUUUGAUGUCUUCUUUGAUUGUUUUAUUUUCGUGAUUGUCUCUGUUGUUGCAUGUUAGAUAAAUGUGAGAUUUGUUAAGCUGAAAUAGUUACUCCCUCAUUAUGAAAUCUUAGCAAAGCCCGUAAGCAAUGAAUUUCAUGAGAUUGGGUUAUGCUCAUCCAUAAAUUACUUUCAUAAAGAUUUUCCUCAUUAGAUAUCAUUAUUAUUCUUGACAGGAACUGGAUAUCUUCAGCUAUGGAAAAUUCUAGAUCAUCUAGGAUCAGAAAUAUGAUGCAUGUUGGAAAAAAUUCUCUUCUGCCUCCUAAAUGUCCAUUCCCUAGCAUUUCCCCAUCAUAUGCUGAGUACAUCCCUAAUUCAGCACCUGCCCGAAAAGGUAUCCCAGCACCUAGAAAUGGCAAUUCACAACAUCAACGUGCUUCCUCUGAAAGUUUUUUGAUUGAGGAACAGCCAUCUUGGCUUGAUGAACUUCUCAAUGAGCCUGAAACACCUGCGCAUAGAGGAGGUCAUCGACGCUCAUCGAGUGAUUCCUUUGCAUAUAUUGACACAUCUAAUGUUGGAAACGUGAAUGGCAUAGAUCAAGAUGAUAAUAAGUUCAAAAAUUUAACUUCAGUGCCUUCUUGGGGAUCUCAGGACUUCGAUCUUUACAGAGAUAUUAGACAUGGUUCUUUCUAUACAGACCCAAAAUCUUCAGCCAAAACCAAGAACAGCAUGUGGGAUGCACCUGUGAAUCCAGUUGCAUCAUCUCAUGGCCGUCCUGCUCCUAAGGACGCUACCAUAGUUCAAACUGGAGUAUCAUUGAGUACUUCCCCAGAAGUAGACAAGAAUUCAUAUUCUUCAACUGGAAAGCAGGAUCCGCUUGAAUCUGAUCCUUAUAAUCCAAAAGAUUCUUCUCAUGCCAAAUCAUCUUCAUCCGAAACAGACACCAAACGGGCCAAGCAGUAUGUUAACUCAACUUGACAUUUUACCUGAUAAGUUACAGCAAUUGGCUUUUUAAUGUUCUUUGACCCUAUUGCAGCCAUCUGCUGUCUUUGCAUUUGAUGCAUGCUUGUCUUGGGUUUGGGAGGACACCUAAAUAUGUGGAUUUCUUUUAAUCUUUGAGUCCUUGUUUAGUAAGAUCUAUACCAUUAAUAUGAGGCCAUUCAUGUGAAUGAUACAAAGUUAUGUUCGGGGAUUUAAUUUUAAUUGCAUUAGUUGUGGGUUAAGCCUAGCUUUAUAUCAAUCUGCUUUCCAUGAACCAUCGUGUUAGAUCACCACGAAUUUACACUGAAUAUGGCUUAGAUUGAACUUAAAUGCAUCAUUUUUAAGCUUAGAAUAUGUUUUUGAAUCAUAAGAUUUUAUGACGUGGUACAUAAAUCAAGCCACGUUUGAAAUCCAUUCUAAGCCUAUUUUUCAUGUAAAAUCAGUUACAAUCUAAAUUGUGAGUUUGAAUUAUUGUCACAAUAUUCUGAAGACCUACUCCUGAAAAUCUUGUUCAUCUGCUUAUAGUUAAAAUGAUUUUAACUAAUUUUAUAACUUUAUUUACCUUUUCUUUUAUUUUAGCUUUUAGCCUGUUGACUCUGGAGAUGAUAUUUCAUCCCCAUACUGCCCCAUAAAAAAAAAUUGGUUUCUCAUAAUACACUAGCUAGAAUCUCAGUAUCCUUGAUAUUUGUCUUAUUAACUGUCUUGGCCUAUUGGUUAUGGUGAUAUGUGCUUUGUAUAUAUUGAAAGCGCUACUGAAUUAACCUGAAAUAUUAAUCACAAUUCUAUGCAUCAAUAUAAUAUUCAGGAUGCAGAUAUGAUGUUGUAAUGCAUGGACACUCUUAUAGAAUAUUUAUACUUAGUGAUACCAAUUCUUCUCCCUUUUAAUUUAAAUGAACUUAUCGUGUAUAAUUUUACUUUCACAAUAAAAUUCUACAUUGUGUCCUGAGAACUUGGUGCUGUUUUUGUGUCUUCUCAUUACGUCUCACUUGAGCAUUUUGAUAGUAAACUACAAACUUUGGUAAAUAAUUAGUGUUUCAGUAAGCUUUAAACUUCAUUUCUAAUGCAGGCAGUUUGCUCAACGUUCACGGGUCCGAAAACUUCAAUACAUCGCUGAACUGGAAAGAAACAUGCAAGCUCUACAGGCAGAUAUUCCCCCUCUGAGAAAUUUUAGUAUCGAUCUUACCUUGACAUGUUACAUCUCUAAAAUUGCUGAUAUCAACUUUGUUGUUUAUAAAUAUAGGCUGAUGGUUCUGAAGUUUCUGCUGAGCUCGAAUUUCUCAACCAACAGAAUCUUAUACUAAACAUGGAGAAUAAAACCCUGAAGCAACGAUUGGAAAGUUUGGCUCAAGAGCAGCUUAUAAAGUACUGUAAGUUUUUGUCCCAUAAGUUAAUUUUCCAGGUUGUUAGUUUGUUAUUUUGUGUUAAUUAGGCAUAACUGGGGAAAGAAAAUUUAUUUUUACACAGUAGGUCUUGGAAAGGAAAUUGAAAGAGUAGGUGGAUAAUUUGGGCUUUAAAACGUGUCUUCAAGAGGUUUGAUAUGAACCUUGAUUUAAUUUCAUAUGUCAGCAUCAAAUAUAUGGGCAUUGUAUAAGAUAAUCCUAGCCACCCCAGGUUGAUGGAUUCUCUGUAAAGACUGUAAUUGUAAUUAUGCACCAGUCCGCAAAUUAUAUCAAUUUUGAUUUACUCCGUAAGUAAAGCAUAAAAUUAACACAUUUUCCCCUCUGAUUAGAUAUGAAAAAGUACUGCAUCAUGCCCACUAGUGUUAUCAUUAUUGAAAAAGUACAUGUCAAUGUGUAUUUCGGAUCAAGUUUAAGAACAUAGCAAACCCACACUUUAUUCUGACUUAGGUUCCUAGUAUAUGUUCUACAACAGUACUGCUUCUUUUAGCUGUCUGACGGUAGGCACUAGUCUGCUGCAUUAACUUGUUUCUGUUCAGAUAUAACUAAGACCUUUGUUUUAGCUGUCUGACGGUAGGCACUAGUCUGCUGCAUUAACUUGUUUCUGUUCAGAUAUAACUAAGACCUUUGCAUAGUCAGGGAUAGAAUAGUGAAUUUUGAAAUACAGAUUAUUAUAUAAUUGUAAAACAUUGGAAAGCUAGCAUCACGUUGGUUUUGGAAUUGACUUGUAUUAGAGAGUAGCAAUUGGACCGCAGAAAGUUUUCCACUCUUAAGAUUUCUCUGAACUAAAUUUGCGGAUGUUGUUUGCAGUUGAGCAUGAAGUAUUGGAAAGAGAAGUCGGAAGAUUACGAGCCCUGUAUCAGCAGCAGCAGCAGCAACAGUUUUCAUCUAGCCAUCGACGUGCUAAAAGCCGAGAUCUCGACCAGCAAUUUGCUAAUCUUUCACUGGAACCCAAGGAAGCAAGUUCUAACAAUGAUACACCUUCUGGGUAUAUCUAGUGUGAGUUUUUACGGUGCCUCCUAAUCAUUCCUUGACUGAUGUCUCCUUGCCUUGCCAAUGACAAAAAUCGAGGUUUCCUUUCAUGGGAUCAAGCCGCAUUCUUCCACUCCUGAGGCUGGACCUCGUUGCCCGGUUUGUUUAUCUUAUGCUAUUCUAUUAUGUUCUUUGUAAUGUUAGAAUUUUUCAAUUUUCUUUAUUAAAAGUAGCGUCGCCAUGUGCGCCUGGUAGUCUGUGCCGGAAAAUAGUUGUUCUGGUGGAUGACUCUCCUGAGGUGGUUCUUCCAAACAUGAUUGAUGUUAAUGACCAUCCCUGUAUGUCUUUAAGUGAUUACAUUUAUAAAUUUCCCUUAACGUUCUGCCUGAGGGAACACUGCCAUUAGACUGGAAAUUGGUUUAUGAAAUCUAACAAUUGUUGAUUACGGGUACUUAUUAGUCUCAAACGUUUGUCAAGAAUUGGUGGAAUCUUAAUGAACGAGUGAACGACCAACGUAUUUCAAAGACAUGACAGGUUAGGUACAUAGUAUUUGACACUAGUUUUAGCUCUUCUCUCUCCUGUAAAAUUGUCCUGUCCUGCCUUCUGUGUUCAUUCUCUCCCUUGUACUUACAAAAAUUGAUGACAUUUUAAUUUGAUUUCAAUAAGAUAAUUGUACUUUAAUUUUGAUUGAUUGGGUAACUACAUUUUAAUUUGAUUUCAAUUGGAUAACUGUGUCCAAUUCCCUCACUUGGCCUAACGAAAAUUGAUGACAUGACAUUAAAAAAAUGAUGGACGUCAUUCAUCUUAGUGACGAUUGCUAUUGAACCAAAGUAUACUUGCCGUGAUCAGAAUUUUUUAUUUUAUGACUCAAUUGAUGCUAUCUUUUUCAUAGUUAUACUAAUAUACUCAUAACUUAGUUUCCUCGAGACCAUGCCAACCAAAGCACCAUUCGACAUUUCACAAUGUCAAAUAGUAGUUGAAUUGAUAUCUAGGACUUCAAUUUUUUUUUAGUGUAAUACGGUAUACAUCAAGUGUUUGUCCUCGACCCCAUACGAGAAAUGAGUAUGCAAACUUUCAUAACGAUAGGAAUCAUCAAGAACGGCAAAGUGAUACGUACGGGUCGAUGGAGACCUGUUGAUGUCGAAUGCAAUCUAAUGACACUCAAUUGUCCAUGUGAGCAGUUGUGCUAACUCAUUUUUAUUCAACUCUUGUUUGGCUACAAUUUCUUAAUAUUCAUGUUUUUUCAAGUUUAUUUUUAAACAUACAUUUUACGAAAUUCACAACUUUUAUCACUAUUUCUACCACACAUUUCAUCAACUUUUAUCGAUAUUUACUAUCCAAUCUAAUUUUUAUCAAACCAGAUGGGGCUCUCUGAAAUGCAGAAUUGACAAAAGACAUUGUCGAUCACUCAACUACUUAACUUGGUUUUACUCUGCUUAUUUUACAGAAUCUAGAAAUUUAUACAGUAGUAAUUCAACAGCGUAUGCAGCUCUGAGUAGUACAAGCGAAAUAUGCUCAUAAUAUGGCAAAAACCUAAUUACGCUUGUCCUCUCCUCAAUCCUUAAAUGUAAACCAAAUCAUACAUGGAAACAAUUAUCCCUUGAUCUGCGGCAAAUGAACACAUCAACCCUAAGCAUGACAAAGCAAAAGCAGUUUGUUUCCAAUAAAAACUUAAGCAUUAAUAAACUAGCAGAAAGUCGAAAAAAUACAUAUAUAAAUGAUACAACAUCUCUUGUAGUAGACAACUGAUGUUAUGUAUGUAAAAUUCAGCUAAAGAAAGUAGUAAAAAGAGAAUAGGUUCAAUAUUAAAAGCAGUUCAACCACGCCUGCGUCUCUUGAAACUGUCCUCGUUAAAG
rnacentral:lncRNA from 1 species